CGGUGAAUACUUCGGAGUGCUGGGUUUGCGGUUUCCGUAGGCCUUCGCGCAAAGUUGAAUAAACCUUAUCACUUAGAGGAAGGAGAAGUCGUAACAAGGUUUCCGUAGGUGAACCUGCGGAAGGAUCAUUC
rnacentral:rRNA from 1 species